GCAUCGCGCUUCUCUUUUAUUUUUCAUUGUCAGCUGUAACGAUAAGUAUCGAAUAUUUGUAGAUGCGGGUAAGAGGUUAUUGGAUACCCCCAAUUUUUCCAAAUACGGACUUAGAGUGGCACACGCCAUUAAGUCGGGCGAGGUGCCGUAAUGUCUAUUUAUUACCCACCCACUUGACGAUCCCAGUACCGGGUUGUGUGGAAAGAUGAGCUAUUUCACCUGCCACUUGAUCACAUAAUAAACAGCCUCACAAACAGUGUCAGGCGGCACCAUCAGUCAACAGAUACUUAUCUGCCACCACAUGGCCCGCCUACAGGUUCUGCAGCACGGGUAAGUCCUCAGCUACGACAAAGCUUUUGUCGGUAGAGAGAAUACUUGAAAGCUUUCUUUGUGGACUGCAGCUGUGCCUUACCACUAGAUAUGCGGAUGAGAAGCGGACAUUCUAUCUACGACGUAACUUUAUCCGACAGAGAGGAAAUGAACAGACCGACUUCAUUUCCUGUUCAUUCAUUCGCACAAUUUACAAGUGAUCGCCACAGACCGAUGACCCUCGGAUGGAACCAACUUGUAGUUUUGCACGAUGGUCGUCUCCGGUGACAACUCCUUUUAGAAAACUUCUAAACUCGAAUAUCAACAAUAAUUAAAGGAGAGAACAAUCGCACGUGAGCACAUCACGUGGGAUGUUACCCGACAUGCACAGCGCCGACACCACAACACAAGACGUCAGUUAGGAAGAGAAGGGGAGUACCGCCGGCGGAUGUUGUGCCUAUCAGGACAGUGAAUGGUGUUUACCAUUUAGGGAUGCAAUAAUUUUUCAUCUAAAAUAAUAUUAAAUAUUUUAAGUUUCCAAAGAACGAAAUAGCCAAGUACGAUUAAAUGCUUUCCUGUCGAAAGUGAAGAGGAUAUAAACUUUCAUCAAAUGAAAAUAUUUAUUAAAUCUUUCGAGAAAAACAAUUUAAUCAAAAGUUUCAAGAUUUAAAACCAUAAACAUUAAACUGAGAAUAAAUAAUCAAUAGAAAUGCUAGAAUACCAAAUCAUAGUUUCUAAAAAGAACUAUAGAAGUGUAUAUCCUGGAAAAGCUCAGUUAUGUGUUUUUCAUUCUCUUGAUAAUCAGGUAAAUGGUUUUAUUCCAGUGAUAUAAUAAUUGUUUUUCUUUUAUUAUGAAAAUAUUGCAUAUUUUACAAUAUGUAUUUGAUAUUGUAUUUAUAACAAAAUUUGUUAAUAAAUUAGUAAUUCUAUAAAUAUGCCAUAAUUCAAAGAUU